UACGGAGGGGACUAGCGUUGUUCGGAAUUACUGGGCGUAAAGCGCACGUAGGCGGAUUUGUAAGUCAGGGGUGAAAUCCCGGGGCUCAACCCCGGAACUGCCUUUGAUACUGCAAAUCUCGAGUCCGGAAGAGGUGAGUGGAAUUCCUAGUGUAGAGGUGAAAUUCGUAGAUAUUCGCAAGAACACCAGUGGCGAAGGCGGCUCACUGGUCCGGUACUGACGCUGAGGUGCGAAAGCGUGGGGAGCAAACAGG
rnacentral:rRNA from 1 species